GGACCCGGUUUCGGACCCGGCUUCAAACCCGGCGUUGGACCCCAUUUCGGGCCCG
rnacentral:tRNA from 14 species